AGAGUUCAGAUUUCCAGCACCCUUGUAGAAAGCUAGGCAUGUAACCCCAGCACUUGGAAGGUGGAGACUGGAGGAUCCCUGGGACUCAGAAUUGGUGAGCUCCAUAUUCAGAAAUCAGGUAGAGCUAGGAAUAGUGGCACACACCUUUAAUCCCAAAACUUGGGGAGCUAAGACAGGUGGAUCUCUGUGAAUUCAAGACCAGCUUAAUAUUCAUAGCAAGUUCCAGACCAGCCAGGGCUAUAUAGUACAAUUUAUCUUAAACAAAAAAGGUAGAGAGUUAUUGAAGAAAACACUGAAUUUGUCUUCUGGCAUCCACAUGUACAUUCAUACACAUUAACAUGUACCCACUCACUUACAUGCACACACACACAAACUGGGAUGUAUUUCAGUUGAUAGAGUGCCUCCCUAACAUGCCCAAAAUCUUGGGUUUGAUUCCUAGUGCCACAUUACAUAAAUUGGCAUGUCAUGGUACAAUUCUGUAAACUUAGCAUUUGGGAGGGGACACAGGAAGAUUAGGAGCUUAAACCUAUUCUCAGCUACAUAGGGAGUUUGAAGUCUCCUAGACUACAUGAGACCCUGUCUCAAAAAAAAUUUUUUAAUCUAGAAAGAUGAACAAGAGUCAUAACCAUUUAUCAUCAGGUAGAGGUCUGGAAAAGCUGGCAUGUGUCUUUAUGGGUAGGUCUUUCUGUGCUCUGGUCUUACAUUUUCUGCAAUAUGCACUCAGCUGUGUGUGUGUGUGUGUGUGUGUGUGUUUGUGCAUAUUGCCUGUGUAAAAGUUAUUUUUUUUUCUGUGAGCAUGACUUUCUUUUCCUGAUUCUUUACCAUUUUAAAAAAGUUGAUAUAGGGCUUCUCACUAAAUCAGGAGCUUAUAGAUUUGGCUAAGCUAAUAACAGUAAGCUCCAGAGAUCCAUCUUUCUCUGCCUGUAUAGACUAUAUCUGGCUUUUUAUGUGGGCACUGAAAAUCUGAACCCAGUUCUUCAUGUUUAUGGCACAAACACUUUACUUGAAUGAGCCAUUUCCCUAUCCCUAUAGAUGUUAUUUUUAUUAAGAAAAAGACAAUGUCCCCCACGUUUGAGGCCUUAGGGGGCUGCAGGAAGUUCUCAAGGGAUGUUAUCCCUUCAGGACUUGUCUGCCUAGGUAACCAUGAUCAUAAACACACUGCUCUUUCCUACAGCUUUCCUGCCUGUGACAGCACCCAUGGUGAGUUCCUGACUGCAUGUGUAUCCCUCCAGCUCUGGAUCUCUAAUAGAUAAUUAUAGGUCCUCCUGUGACUUUUGUCUAACUUUUCUAUAUCCACAUCCCUAUUCCACUUAACUCAGUCAGGCUUUGGACUUCUCAAAAGCCCAUGUCACAGAGUCAUCCUUUCUUUGAACAUCUACCAUACAUAUAGCACUGUAGGUCAGUGAGUUGGGAAAUACUUCUGGCCACAACUUUAAUGGAAGUGUCCAUUACUUUCUGUGUUAAUCACCUUUCUGUUACUUUAACAAAUAUAUGAGAUAAUCAGUGUAUAAAAACAAACUUUCAUACACCCACAGAGAUAAUAAAAAUAAAAAAUUUUAAAGGAGGGUUGGACCUGGAGAGAAUGCUCAGUAGAUAAAAGCUCUCUGGCUUGGGCAGUUCACAACUGUAUGUAAUUCUAGUCCCAUGGGUAUCUGAAGCCAGCCUCAUGUAUACAUGGUGCCACAUUAAUUAUAUAUAGUUACAUACAUAUAA
rnacentral:lncRNA from 1 species